GCAAGGCAGACACCCCCGCAGCAGAAGUGGGACAACCGCCGCUAGGGUGGCUCUCUUCCCGCUCCGCAGGCGAGAGGCGCGUUCAACAUCCAAUCUGCUUCCUAUCGCUGGCACGUAGACCCUACGUGGGAUCCACAUCAGUGGUCAGGGCGGUACCUACACCGAAGCCAGUGUCCCAGUCCGUCCCAUAAGGAUGCGCUUCGGAGAUCCCUCCUCGUCGUGCCAGGACAUUGCUCAGCACCUUCUUCUUGUGUUGCACAACGUCUAUGAUGGCCCAAAUCUAAAUUCACCAAAAAAUACGACAAAAACGUCAUUUGUGGCACCCCCUAGUGCGCUCAGGGGCCACUACACCGUACCUGAUCGUUCGGCCCCACAGAGACACAGCAGACAUCUUCCGAGACCAGAAUCCAGGCAGUGCCUUCGGGAAAGAUUGGCAGCACUUCGGCGCGGUACCAGAGGCGGCGCGCCGUGUCGACCGCGCAGACGACUGACUUUCCCAUGGAGACCUGGGCCAAGCAUGACCCAGAGGGUGGCUCCACAUGGAACCAGGUGGUUCCUGUUGAUCGGGUGGUCAGGAACGAGAUGCCUCUUGAUAAGAGACAGGGCAGAGUGACCCUG